AUAAUAAUUAUAAAAAAUAACGAUACCUUGACGGUUUGAAUAAAUACCCCGGAUCUGUAGUCAGCAAACGCAGAACUAAUUGGGACAUAAGCCAAUAUGUUCAAAUACAUUUGGGCGGUUUUGGUCGUCACCGUUCUUGUUGAACGGUGCUUGGCUGGUCCAACAGGAGAUGGAGACGACGUAACUCGUAGAGGACCGCCAGUUCACCAAGGACCACCUCAACGUCCACCAACCGAUGGAGACGACGUCACUCGUAGAGGACCGCCAGUUCACCAAGGACCACCUCAACGUCCACCAACCGAUGAUGGAGACGACACAACUCGUAGAGGACCUCCAGUUCACCAAGGUCCACCUCAUCGUCCACCAAACGAUGGAGACGACGUAACUCGUAGAGGACCGCCAGUUCACCAAGGACCACCUCAACGUCCACCAACCGAUGAUGGAGACGACACAACUCGUAGAGGACCUCCAGUUCACCAAGGUCCACCUCAUCGUCCACCAAACGAUGGAGACGACGUAACUCGUAGAGGACCGCCAGUUCACCAAGGACCAACCCCACGAACCGAUGGAGACGACGUCACUCGUAGAGGACCGCCAGUUCACCAAGGACCACCUCAUCGUCCACCAACUGAUGGAGACGACGUAACUCGUAGAGGACCGCCAGUUCACCAAGGACCACCUCAACGUCCACCAACCGAUGGAGACGACGUCACUCGUAGAGGGCCGCCAGUUCACCAAGGACCACCACAUCGUCCACCAACCGAUGGAGACGACGUCACUCGUAGAGGGCCGCCAGUUCACCAAGGACCACCUCAUCGUCCACCAACUGAUGAAGACGACGUAACUCGUAGAGGACCGCCAGUUCACCAAGGACCACCUCAACG